GUGGCUGGGCCACACCUCCGGUCAUGGCCCCUAUGGCACCAGACUGACUGGGGAAGAUGCAGUACUCCUUUGUCCCCGGGACAGAGAGGACUCAGACACGGAGUGAGAGUUCAAGCGCAAGAGGCUUGGUGGGGCGACCAGCGUGGUGUGGCUGCGCUAAGAGGCUGCGAUGUGUCGCUCAGGGGAACCCCCCACCCCACCCCCACAGGAGGCGGUAGCCCUGUCCCUGUCAUCCCCCAGGUCCGGAGGAAGGAGACCUUGCUGAAGCAGACUUUCAGGAGGGUUCUGUGAAAAUAAACGAGGCCGCCGAUUGGAAUCGAGUCUGAUGCCGAGGGAGGCGGCAGAUGACUUUGGCCUCUCCUUUCCCAAAAGGUUAUUUUUGCGGACUCUUCUCAUUUAAGCAUCUCAGAUGACCCUAGGCCUGAGGGCUUCAUGGUUGGGGGUGUGUAUGGGGUGUAGGGUGCCUCUGAAGGGUGGCUGAGCAACGCCCUGGGCAAUGGAGCCAAGCAAAUGAAAGGCCUGGCUACGGCCUUUACUUGCACAUUGCUUAGUGGUUAGAGGAAAAAGCAAGAGGCAAGAUAAAAUAGUGGGUGCCUGCAAAGGCUUUAGACAGGUUGCUAGUUACUCGCUGGACCCUGGGACUCCCUAAACGUCAGUUUCCUCAUCUCUAAAAAUCCAGAACUCCAUACCAAACUCAAACGGUCCAUGAGAUGACGCUGGGGAGUUAUUCAGCCCAGAGCCUAGCACACAGAA